rnacentral:rRNA from 1 species
GAGGAAUAUUGGUCAAUGGGGGCAACCCUGAACCAGCCAAGUCGCGUGAAGGAUGAAGGUCUUAUGGAUUGUAAACUUCUUUUAUACAGGAAUAAAUUGGGGGACGUGUCCCCUUUUGCAUGUACUGUAUGAAUAAGGAUCGGCUAACUCCGUGCCAGCAGCCGCGGUAAUACGGAGGAUCCGAGCGUUAUCCGGAUUUAUUGGGUUUAAAGGGUGCGUAGGUGGGCUUAUAAGUCAGUGGUGAAAUCUCCGAGCUUAACUUGGAAACUGCCGUUGAUACUAUAGGUCUUGAAUUAUCUGGAGGUAAGCGGAAUAUGUCAUGUAGCGGUGAAAUGCUUAGAUAUGACAUAGAACACCAAUUGCGAAGGCAGCUUACUACAUAUAAAUUGACGCUGAGGCACGAAAGCGUGGGGAUCAAACA